UUCAUGGUGGAGCAAUCUCAAGGCAGG
rnacentral:piRNA from 1 species